UUUACAGUCUGUCAGUUGAUAAAAUAUUUUGUAGUCUUUGCAUUCACAUGUACACCCCUCGAAAGCCUGAAAUCACAGAGCCCCCC